rnacentral:lncRNA from 1 species
UCGCAGCCCUUGCUGCCCCAUAUAUGGUCAUUCUCACGUUUUUCUAUUUCCGUAAUUCGCGUGUUAGGCGUAUGCCACACGUGCGGGAGCGUGUUGGAUUUUUUCACAAUCAUAUUUGUUCUCACGUUUCCCUAUUUUCGUAAUCCGCGUGUUUGGCAUAUACCACACGUGCGGGAGCGUGUUGGAUUUUUUCCUUCCUGGAACUUUCUGCAGCCUCCUGGAGCUUCCUGCAGCACCUUUGUUGCCUUUUGGAGCUUCCUGCAGCACUUUUGCUGCCUUUUGGAGCUUCCUGCAGCACCUUUGCUGCCUUUUGGAGCUUCCUGCAGCACUUUUGCUGCCUUUUGGAGUUUCCUGCAGCACUUUUGCUGCCUUUUGGAGCUAUCUGCAACCUUCUGGAGCUUCCUGCUGCCUCCUAGAGCUUAUGUGGCUUCGUUCCUACAAUGUUAGGUAGCCUAACAUUGUUGAAGACUUCUCUUAGCAAGCUUGGUCUCGUGGAUAUGUUCGCCCCCGCUUGAGGGGGAGUGUUGGAAAUAAAAGAAG